AGGUGGGGUGACUUGUCUGCUUAAUUGCGAUAACGAACGAGACCUUAACCUGCUAAAUAGCCCGCAUUGCUCCGGCAGUGCGCUGGCUUCUUAGAGGGACUUUCGGCUCAAGCCGAAGGAAGUUUGAGGCAAUAACA
rnacentral:rRNA from 1 species